AAUAUAUACACACAUAUUUAUAAUAUUUCUCUGUAUAUGACUCUGUAACUACAUAAAGUUAAAUAUGAACAUGUACGCAUGUCUCCAACUUCAAUCCACUAACACAUAGCUCAUUCUAGUCUCAUUUCCUUGCUUAUCUAUAACCUUCAUGGCCAAAAUGAAGAAAACCAGCUCUUGCAAUCCAAAUAUACAUAUUUAUAUUUUUAAUUCCAGUAUACCUGUAUAGUAUCACAAUUAUCAACGCAAAUCCACAUAACCUAUUGACAUAUUUUCUAAAUUAGACUCCACUGUGUUUGUGCAGCUCCUUUCAUCUUACAUCUAACAAAUUCUAUUACCUUUCAAAAUGAUUUAUUUUGGCAUAGUUUUAUUCCAACUCCUUAAGUAAAAUUGUUUCAUGCAUUUAAAAAUAGUGAUAGAUUUUCUUAUCACAGUCAGGAUUCCUUUCAGAAAUGCCCUAACCUUCCAAUCUUAAGAUUUGCAUAAGAUAAGAUGCACUCUUUUUGCUUUAAUGUUCUGUGCUUUUAACAAAUGCAUGAUUUUUUGUUCCUACUGAUACAAGUUAUUUUCCUGACCCCUUUGCAGGACUUGUGAUGGGUGCCUCGUUUACUUACUCCUAGCAGGAGGAAACACGUGAGCAACCAAGUGCGAGAACUGGAGUGAAGGAGCACUGAAUUCACCUGACCGCUUUGGUGCCAGAGGGACCAAACUCCACUUACCUGCAUCUGCUGCGUUCCACCCCUUGCAAUGGGGAGUACACAGAGUCUCAUUCUGUCUCCCAGCUUGGAGUGCAAUGGCACGAUAUCAACUCACUGGAACUUCCAUCCCCUGGUUUCAAAUGAUUUUCCUGCUUCAGCCUCCAGAGUGUCUGGUAUGACAAGCGUGAGCCACUACAGUCAGCUAGUUUUUGUAUUUGCAGUGGAGACAGGGUUUUGCCUUGUUGGCUAG
rnacentral:lncRNA from 1 species